GACGAACGCUGGCGGCGUGCUUAACACAUGCAAGUCGAACGGAAAGGCCCUGCUUUUGUGGGGUGCUCGAGUGGCGAACGGGUGAGUAACACGUGAGUAACCUGCCCUUGACUUUGGGAUAACUUCAGGAAACUGGGGCUAAUACCGGAUAGGAGCUCCUGCUGCAUGGUGGGGGGUGGAAAGUUUCGGCGGUUGGGGAUGGACUCGCGGCUUAUCCGCUUGUUGGUGGGGUAGUGGCUUACCAAGGCUUUGACGGGUAGCCGGCCUGAGAGGGUGACCGGCCACAUUGGGACUGGGAUACGGCCCAGACUCCUACGGGAGGCAGCAGUGGGGAAUAUUGCACAAUGGGCGGAGGCCUGAUGCAGCAACGCCGCGUGCGGGAUGACGGCCUUCGGGUUGUAAACCGCUUUCGCCUGUGACGAGGCGUGAGUGACGGUAAUGGGUAAAGAAGCACCGGCUAACUACGUG
rnacentral:rRNA from 1 species